UCCUUCAUCGUCUGCGAGGCAAACAUGAACCAGAACGGCGGGUAUUUUACUUACAUGCAGUGGUGGAUGAUGAUGAUUGGAAUCUGGAGGAUCGACACUCAAGAUCAUCCCAGUUAUAAGAAAAAGUUUCACAAAGUGUACUCGUUAGUAAUCCAAACCCUUGCCUCUUCGCCGACCCUUUCUUUCGCAAUUGCGGUGCCUGGAUUACUGAAAACAGAUAUGACAACGGCAAUCUACAACAUCGGCAUCAUAAUAAUGGUCGGCAUGAUAGUCGUUAAAAUGAUAAUGUGUCAGUCGAAAUCCGUUACCAAACUUCUGCAACUUGCGCUACAGCUCGACGAGCAAAUCAGAGCACAGAAGGAGCCAGAGAUGCAACUAAUAUACCGGCAGCAUGUAAAGUUCGAUGAUAAAUUGGUGACGUUGAUCGCUGUUUCUGGACUCAUCAUGGGAAUGUUCGUGGUGGUGUAUGGUGAUAUUGAAUGCUACGUAUUCUUCAAGGAGAACAAAGAAACCAACAUCACGGAGGUACCUGUAGUUGUAAACUAUUGGUAUCCUUUCGACAAGAAAAAAUACUAUACGUUCCUACUUAUUGAUCAAAACGUUCGACCUACUCUGUGCUGUAUAUGUAUCGGAGUAGUCAGUGCUUUCGUCAACUGCAUAAUUAUUUUCGUGCGGUUGCAACUGAAACUGCUGCAGUACAGUUUCAGGAACUUUCAUCGGUUUCCUUCGCACGGGGUCAGUUUGGAGGCCGCGAAGAAUACAUUACGGUUGUUGUGCGUCAGACACCAGCAGCUCAUCCAAUACGUGGAGGACCUCAACGAGUCUUUCAAAAAUAUUUUACUCCUGGAGUACAUAGUGUCCGGGGUUUUGUUGGCAGCAUUGAUUUUGCAAAUAACAGGGGGCAAUCAACGACUUUUAGUCUGUUUUGUUUUACUGGUAUCUGUGGUCCAAUUGCUUACGUUCGCAUGGAGCGCUAACGAAAUAAUUGUCCAGAGUGCGGAAUUGGCAAGAGCUCUUUUUGAAAGCAAAUGGUACGACCAAAAUACCCCUGCAAAAUUAAUGACGCAAAUCAUGAUGAUGAGGUGUCAGAAACCUCUAAGCCUAAGCAUCGGUCCAUUUGGAGUUAUGGACUUGAACGUCGGAUUAUCGAGGCUCAAACUUGGGUAUUCGUAUACAUCUCUGAUGACAAAUGGAGAUUGAUAAAUUAGUUAUUCGAAAAUGCAACAUUUCAAACAUUUUCGAACCCUGUAUUAAGUUGCGAAAAUGUUGUGGAUUCAUUUUGUUUUGGGGUGAUUUGCGAUGGUAGCGUCGUUAAAACCCACAAGAACGAUAUUCGUCUUAAAUUUCCCUUUAUAAUAUCUACACGACUUUUCUGCGGCAAUCCGGGACCAUAAACAAGUCGAUUCGCUUUCGCACUCACCUUAUCGAUACCGAAACCCGUGGGACCCGGAGGCAGUGCGAGGGAGGUGCCCGUCCCUCAUCGAGGUAUAUACAAAUCGAUAGUUUCGAACUGCGUUUUACGAACCAUAAAAUUGCCUUGGAAUGUGGAAAAAGGUAUAAGCAUGGUUACGUACUCCAUAACCUAGCAUCGUGUGGUCGUUAAAAGUAUACAACUUGCACCUGCCUACAGAGAGGCGGUUUUCCGUCAAUUUUACGACUUUUCUCGAUAAGUUCAUAAAAAUUAGUAUCUCAGGCGUGCUAUUUGACAUCGGCUAAGAGAGAGGGAGGGUGCGUAAAAUAGUCAUUUGCGAUAAAUGAAGUCAACAAAACUUCCAUUAUACAUAUGCUUUACAUUGGUCAUUUUAGAGAAUCUGCAAGAGUCUUGGACCAAUUGUCAAUUUUGCGGUGCUACGCUGUUGUCAUUCUUUAAAGUAAAAUAAACAUCUCAAAAAA